rnacentral:rRNA from 1 species
CGUCGGCGGAUAAUUAAAAUUACAAUAAAAGACUGAGGAAACCCCUCUUUAAGUUGCAUUUACUAAUUAUUUGAGUUUUGAAGGUGGUUUGUUGAAUUCCAGAAGGAAAGGUGAAAUUUGUUGAUAUUGGAAGACAUUCGAUAGCGAAAGCAUAACCAAUUCAAAUCUGACGCUAGGUACUAAAGCAUGGGUAGAAAGAGGAUUAGAGACCUCGUAGUCCAUGCCUUAAACAAUGAGUGUUCAACAUCUUUGGCGUCAAGACAAGCUUAUCUUAUCUAACAGUAAGAUAAUAGUUUCAAGGGUCAUUGGUGAUUUAAAGCUAACGCGAGAAACACCGCCUGGGGAAUGUGGCCGCAAGGUUAAACUCAAAGGAAUUGACGGAGACUUAUACACGG